AGGGCACCACCAGGAGUGGAGCCUGCGGCUUAAUUUGACUCAACACGGGAAAACUCACCCGGCCCGGACACUGGAAGGAUUGACAGAUUGAGAGCUCUUUCUUGAUUCAGUGGGUGGUGGUGCAUGGCCGUUCUUAGUUGGUGGAGUGAUUUGUCUGGUUAAUUCCGAUAACGAACGAGACUCUAGCCUACUAAAUAGAUCGUCGGCUUACAAACGCCGGCGAGACUUCUUAGAGGGACAGGCGGUGAUUCAACCGCACGAAACAGAGCAAUAACAGGUCUGUGAUGCCCUUAGAUGUCCGGGACCGCACGCGCGCUACACUGAAGUGAUCAGCGUGCUUUUUCAACCUACUCUGUCAAGAGUGGGGAACCCAAUGAACCUUCUUCGUGAUUGGGAUAGGGGAUUGUAAUUAUUCCCCUUGAACGAGGAAUUCCCAGUAAGCGCGAGUCAUAAGCUCGCGUUGAUUACGUCCCUGCCCUUUGUACACACCGCCCGUCGCUACUACCGAUUGAAUGUUUU
rnacentral:rRNA from 1 species